AUGGGGUACCUGCCGUCGUCCCUGGGCAGCAAGGCGGCGCACUUCGUGUCCGACCUCACCACCGUCAUCCUCAACCCCGUCUCCGAGCGCGAGCCCUCCCACCUCCCCGAGGAGGACGAAGAGCAAGAAAAAUCAGAAGAUGACAAAGAUUCUGACCAUAAUUCUGAUAACCCUGACGGCCCCGAUACAUCUUCGUUCAGAGCAUUCAUGAUCUCAUUUUUGUCGCCGUCUAGCUCUUUUAACGAUUCAAGGGAGAUAAUCCCCGAGCAGAGCGAAGAAAUGGGAUACCCAACUUUAACACCAGUUGGGAAGGCAACCAAGGGAAAGACAGGCUUGCUAAGCAGAGGGAAGCAUUCCAUUGGAAAAAUUAUUAAUAAAGCGGCUAAGAUGAGCGGUUUCAAACAAAAUUCAGAACCCAAAAUUGACAAAGAGGUGGUAAAUAAUGCUGAAUCAGUUGCACCUGCGUUGGAGCUCGAAGGACCAAAUGAAGUUAAUUCCCUGACCAACAUGCCAGCUAUGUCAGAGCCAUCUGUCCUUUUGUCAGAAACAAUGCGAUCCACUCUUUAUUCUUCUCUUCCUAUUCUGGCCCAAGGAAGGAGCUGGGUUUUGCUAUACAGCACAUCGAGGCAUGGAAUAUCUCUAUCUACUUUAUAUAGAAGGAGUUUGCUGUGCCCUGGUUACUCACUCCUGGUAGUUGGGGACAGAAAGGGGGCGGUUUUUGGUGGUCUAGUUGAGGCUCCAUUACAGCCAACUAGCACAAAGAAGUAUCAGGGUACCAAUAACUGCUUUGUUUUCACUAAUUUACACAGUGAUCCUGCUAUAUACCGGCCAACAGGUGCCAAUAAGUAUUAUACUGUGUGCUCUGCUGACUAUUUGGCACUAGGAGGUGGAGGUCAUUUCGCACUUUAUCUAGACUCAGACCUUUUGAGUGGUUCAAGUUCAAAUUCGGAGACUUUUAACAACCAGUGUUUGUCACAUUCUCCAGAUUUUGCAGUUAAAGACGUUGAGCUAUGGGGCUUCGUCUAUCCUUCAAGGUACGAAGAGAUGCUCAAGCUCUGUCGUACUGAGAAGCCAGGGGUAUGCCGAUUUUGA
rnacentral:rRNA from 1 species